rnacentral:rRNA from 1 species
AUCCGGUGAAAUUUUAAUACCUGUGAAGAUGCAGGUUACCCGCGACAAGACGGAAAGACCCCAUGGAGCUUUACUGCAGCUUGAUAUUGAAUUUGGGUACGAUCUGUACAGGAUAGGUGGGAGCCGUAGAACCUUGAGCGCCAGCUUGAGGGGAGGCAUCCUUGGGAUACCACCCUGAUCGUAUCUAGGUUCUAACUUGGUACCGUGAUCCGGUGCGAGGACAGUGUCAGGUGGGCAGUUUGACUGGGGCGGUCGCCUCCUAAAGAGUAACGGAGGCGCCCCAAGGUUCCCUCAGAAUGGUUGGAAAUCAUUCGAAGAGUGCAAAGGCAGAAGG